GGACCCGCACAAGCGGUGGAUGAUGUGGAUUAAUUCGAUGCAACGCGAAAAACCUUACCUACCCUUGACAUGUUCAGGAGUCCGAAGAGAUUUGGAUGUGCUCGAAAGAGAACUGGAACACAGGUGCUGCAUGGCUGUCGUCAGCUCGUGUCGUGAGAUGUUGGGUUAAGUCCCGCAACGAGCGCAACCCUUGUCGUUAAUUGCCAUCAUUUAGUUGGGCACUUUAACGAGACUGCCGGUGACAAACCGGAGGAAGGUGGGGAUGACGUCAAGUCCUCAUGGCCCUUAUGGGUAGGGCUUCACACGUCAUACAAUGGUCGGUACAAAGGGUUGCCAACCCGCGAGGGGGAGCUAAUCCCAUAAAGCCGAUCGUAGUCCGGAUCGCAGGCUGCAACUCGCCUGCGUGAAGUCGGAAUCGCUAGUAAUCGUGGAUCAGCAUGUCACGGUGAAUACGUUCCCGGGUCUU
rnacentral:rRNA from 1 species